UUGAAAGGGAAACGAUUGAAGUCAGUCGUACCGACGGAGAAAUCAGCUUUUCGAGUGCUUACUUGUGGGUGUGCGUGAGCGUUUCAAAGGCCUCGCUGUUUGCAUGUUUGUGCUUUUUUGGUGUACUUUUUCGUAUGGUAGGCCAACGUCAGUUUCGAGCACCAUAAAAUGAUCGGAGGAAUGUAGCUUUGAUCUCGUAUUGAAGUGUUAUAGCCUUUGGUAGAUGUGGUGAUCGAAACUGAGGAUUGCAACGAAUACCCUUUGGGCUAUCCGUCUGACCUCUGGAAGUUGCUUAGGUGCCGAAAGCUUGCUUAUGGUAUUUAAGACGACGGUCAAAAGGUUAGAACGUGAUUACAUUCGUUAAGGAUGUUGACGUA
rnacentral:rRNA from 1 species